CUGUCAGAGGGUGACUGAUUGGUCAGCCGGGUAAAUGUGUCAAAAUGAAAGUGUAGUUUCGUGUCUCAAAAAAAUACUCAAGAAUUUGCGUUAAUAAACAAAAAAUACAGGAGAUAGGAAAGAAAAAAUGCGUGGAAAAUAUAUUUAAGUGGAUGCAAUUGAAGAAAAACUGGUAAAAAUUGUGAAAAUUGCAGUGGAAUUGUAUUUUUUAAGGAGGCAAUCGUGAAUGCCGUCAUUUGUUAUUUUAUAGUACUGGAAUCCUGCUGCCAGAUUAAUUUUCUAUUUAUUUUUUAUUCACCUCCAUUUAGAGAUAAACCAUUAAAAUCUAAUUUAAAGUGAAAAUUUGAGGAAAAAGAAACGUUUGGUGUUUAGAUUAAGAGCAAUAGUUUAUACAUGUGGAGAGAAAUGAGGCGAAUAAAUCAAUGCUGGCUCAUUCUAGCAUUUCUAUAUGGCAGCACAAUUUGUUUUGCUGCAGCAACAGAAAAGGUCCCAGCUGAUGCACAGUCAGGCUUAACGAGCAGUACAAUAAGUAACAGUGGUACACCUAAAGAUGAAAUUUACAUCGAUGACGAAAGUCUCGAAGGAUCUGGUGGACGUGGAGAGAUUCGCGAUGAUCUAGAAAAAGAGCCUGAUUAUUCUGGAUCAGGUCUUGGGCCGGAUGAUGAGGAUUCAACAUCAAAUCGCCAUCAAUCAAAUCUAAAUACAAAUAGGAAUAACAAAGAUAGACAGAGAGGUUCGUCAUUGGAUACUGAAAAUGGUUCAGGUGAUGGAGAUGAUGAUCUUGAUGUGGAUUUGGAUAAACAUGAGGAGAACAGACCAAAACCAUACUACCCCAACACAAGCGACGAUGAAGACAUUGAUAUUGAUGAUCCCAGAACCAACAGAAAGGACAAAAAAGUAAAUACACACUUGGAGGAAUCUGAAAUUGAUCUACACGAAAUUGAUCACAGUCACAGCACUGAUCGUCCUCAUUCAAGUAGUGAAAGCAAUAACGAGGUAUUCAUUAUGAAUACAAAGCCAGAAGAUCGAACAGCAUCCUUCUUUGCUCAACCAGGAAUACUAGCAGCUGUAAUUGGAGGAGCUGUUGUGGGACUUCUAUGUGCAAUUCUUGUAGUAAUGUUCAUUGUUUACCGAAUGAGGAAAAAGGAUGAAGGUUCUUAUGCCCUCGAUGAGCCAAAGAGAUCGCCCGCAGUGAACUCUUAUGCUAAAAAUUCCAAUAAUCGUGAGUUCUAUGCAUGAGACUACUAAUCUUCUUAUCAUUUCAUAUUUUUCCUCUUCCAUCGGAAGAUUACGUUUUUUUUAUUAAAUGUAAAAAUUCAGUUAAUCUCAGUCAUUUGCGAUUAUCUGAAUAAUGUUUUACAAGUAAAUAUACAGUAAGGGAAAAAAAUGCAGUAAUACCGAUUAUUACGAAAGUAAAAUACGGAGCUUAUUGAAUCAAAUUUUUUAAGUGUACACUAUCGCGUAUAGCAGAAAAAUUAUUUUUUGUUCUUAUGUUAAAUUCUUUUUUUUGUGAAAAAUAAUUUAUUAAUACCCAGCCAUCACUUUUGCCGAUCAGAGAAAAUAUAACCACUUAAUUUGAUGUGUUUAAAUAAAAAGUCUCAAAGGGCGAUCCUUUGGCUCAAUGCUUAGGACAACCAUCAAUUCGUCUUGGAUCAUCGAGCAAAAGUUGAUUUUGCAACACAUCAAAAAACCCAAAAAACGAUAAAAGUACAACAUUGGGAAAUUAACUUGUCCAGGAGUUAAGGCAUCCCUUUGUUCAAUGGAAAUCUCAUACUAUAUCUUUAUCCCAGUUAAUUUUAGUAUCAUACUAAUCUUUCUAAACGAUAUUCAAUUCUUAAAGAAGAAGAAAAAAAAUUAAAAAAAAAGAAAAACGAAAGCAUGCAAACGUUGGGAGGGUUUGGAGUCACUAAUACAUACUCAAUAAGAGUUGUAACUUAUAAUUUUUUUUUUCUACGUAAAAGAAUAUUUACUCAAAAAAAAAGAAGGAAAAAUGACUGGUAAAUUGAAUAAAAUGCUUCGAUAAAAAAAGGUACAUGAAAAAGGGUUACAAUAAAUAUCGCAAUGUUUGUAAAUUAGGCAUUAAAAAAAAACAUUUAUGAUAAAUAAGUUAUAUUUAUAUUGUAUAGUAAUUGUACAAUAGAAUCACUAUCGAUUUACGCACAUGCUUCGAAUAUCUUUUUUCUUUUCAAUUCUAAUUGAAUUUUUUUUAGGCUCCUGAAACAAUGAUGACAUUAAUUUUUUUUCUAAAGAAUUCAAAAUUAAAUUUUCGAAGAAAGUAAGGAAAAUGUCAUCGAAAGAGAUUUUUUCAAGGAAUAUCAAAAAGAAAAUUAGAAAAAUAUCAUAAUUCCUAAUUGUUUCCAUCUCAAAAUUGUCAUUGGUGUUUAAUGUUGUGUGUGCUGACCUACAUACUUCGUAAAUGACAAUCGUAUCAAUAAAAAUUAUUACCAAAUCUUUUGGCAUAAGUCAAA